UACGGGGGGGGUAAGCGUUGUUCGGAAUUACUGGGCGUAAAGGGCUCGUAGGCGGCCAACUAAGUCAUACGUGAAAUCCCUCAGCUUAACUGGGGAACUGCGUGUGAUACUGGAUGGCUUGGAUCUGGGAGAGGGAUGCGGAAUUCCAGGUGUAGCGGUGAAAUGCGUAGAUAUCUGGAGGAACACCGGUGGCGAAGGCGGCAUCCUGGACCAAUAUUGACGCUGAGGAGCGAAAGCCAGGGGAGCAAACGGG
rnacentral:rRNA from 1 species